rnacentral:rRNA from 1 species
CACAAGCGGUGGAUGAUGUGGAUUAAUUCGAUGCAACGCGAAAACCUUACCUACCCUUGACAUGUCCGGAAUCCGAAGAGAUUUGGGAGUGCUCGCAAGAGAGCCGGAACACAGGUGCUGCAUGGCUGUCGUCAGCUCGUGUCGUGAGAUGUUGGGUUAAGUCCCGCAACGAGCGCAACCCUUGUCAUUAGUUGCCAUCAUUUGGUUGGGCACUCUAAUGAGACUGCCGGUGACAAACCGGAGGAAGGUGGGGAUGACGUCAAGUCCUCAUGGCCCUUAUGGGUAGGGCUUCACACGUCAUACAAUGGUCGGUACAGAGGGUUGCCAACCCGCGAGGGGGAGCUAAUCCCACAAAGCCGAUCGUAGUCCGGAUCGCAGUCUGCAACUCGACUGCGUGAAGUCGGAAUCGCUAGUAAUCGUGGAUCAGCAUGUCACGGUGAAUACGUUCCCGGGUCUU